UACGUAGGGUACGAGCGUUGUCCGGAAUUAUUGGGCGUAAAGGGCUCGUAGGCGGUUUGUCACGUCGGGAGUGAAAACUCGGGGCUUAACCCCGAGCCUGCUUCCGAUACGGGCUGACUAGAGGUAUGCAGGGGAGAACGGAAUUCCUGGUGUAGUGGUGAAAUGCGUAGAUAUCGGGAGGAACACCAGUGGCGAAGGCGGCUACCUGGCCCAUUCUUGACGCUGAGGCGCGAAAGCUAGGGGAGCAAACGGG
rnacentral:rRNA from 1 species